CGCAGGGUGGAGGAGUUGGAACCUUGCCGGGUUUAUGCCCCGGAGAGCGCCGGUUCGAGUCCGGCCCCUGCUA
rnacentral:tRNA from 1 species